rnacentral:rRNA from 1 species
AUACGGAGGACGCGAGCGUUAUCCGGAUUCAUUGGGUUUAAAGGGUGCGCAGGCGGCCGUGCAAGUCAGCGGUGAAAGCCCGGGGCCCAACCCCGGAAGUGCCGUUGAUACUGCAUGGCUUGAAUGCGGUCGAGGCGGGCGGAACGUGGCGUGUAGGGGUGAAAUGCGUAGAUAUGCCACAGAACGCCGAUAGCGGAGGCAGCUCGCCAGGCCUGCAUUGACGCUCGGGCACGAAAGCGUGGGGAUCGAACAGGAUUAGAUACCCUGGUAGUCCACGCCGUAAACGAUGGGCGCUCGUCGUCGGCGACAGACAGUCGGCGGCCAAGCGAAAGCGAUAAGCGCCCCACCUGGGGAGUACGGUCGCAAGGCUAAAACUCAAAUGAAUUGACGGGG